rnacentral:rRNA from 1 species
CCUACGGGGGACAGCAGUGAGGAAUAUUGGUCAAUGGGCGGGAGCCUGAACCAGCCAAGCCGCGUGAAUGAAGAAGGCGCCAAGCGUCGUAAACUUCUUUUGUCGGGGAACAAAGGGCGCCACGUGUGGCGUUGUGAGUGUACCCGAAGAAAAAACAUCGCCUAACAACGUGCCAGCAGCCGCGGUAAUACGGAGGAUCCGAGCGUUAACCGGAUUUAUUGGGUUUAAAGGGAGCGUAGGCGGGUUGUUAAGUCAGUGGUGAAAGUUUGGGGCGCAACCGUAAAAUUGAAGUUGAUACUGGCAUCCUUGAGUACAGUAGAGGUAGGCGGAAUUCGUGGUGUAGCGGUGAAAUGCUUAGAUAUCACGAAGAACUCCGAUUGCGAAGGCAGCCUGCUGGACUGUAACUGACGCUGAGGCUCGAAAGUGUGGGUAUCAAACAGGAUUAGAUACCCGAGUAGUC